rnacentral:rRNA from 1 species
AUACGAAGGGGGCUAGCGUUGUUCGGAUUUACAGGGCGUAAAGCGCACGUAGGCGGAUUGACAAGUUAGGGGUGAAAUCCCGAGGCUCAACCUCGGAACUGCCUCUAAAACUGUCAAUCUCGAGACCGGAAGAGGUGAGUGGAACUCCUAGUGUAGAGGUGGAAUUCGUAGAUAUUAGGAAGAACACCAGUGGCGAAGGCGGCUCACUGGUCCGGUACUGACGCUGAGGUGCGAAAGCGUGGGGAGCAAACAGGAUUAGAAACCCUAGUAGUCC